GCUGUCGCAUAGCAGGUGACGUCACAAUUGAACUCAUCAGCUAGCGACGCGGAAGUAUCAUCUACACCCGGAAUCAAAAGGUUCGAGACGCUGUCACAUCAGGGUGUGUUUUGUACGUUUCUCACAAUGUUUCAUGGAAUCCCGGCACAGGCGGCAAUCGGAGCUCCUGGAAAUAAACCGGAACUGUAUGAGGAAGUGAAGCUGUAUAAGAAUGCCCGGGAGAGAGAGAAGUAUGAC